rnacentral:rRNA from 1 species
UGAGGAACAUGACCUUCGGCGGGGGAUAGCCGGCCCAACGGCCGGGUAAUACCGCGUACGACCACUUUGGGACAUCCCUCGGUGGUGAAAGCAGCAAUGCGCCGAUGGAGUGCCUCGCGGCCUAUCAGCUAGUUGGUGAGGUAACGGCUCACCAAGGCGACGACGGGUAGCUGGUCUGAGAGGAUGAUCAGCCACAUUGGGACUGAGACACGGCCCAGACUCCUAGGGAGG